rnacentral:ribozyme from 13 species
GAAGUGGAAAAGGGGAAAAGGAAGAAGUCAAAGGGGGAUCUUUUUUGUCUUCUUUGUCUUCAUCCUUUUCUUUCUCUUCUUCUCCUCCUUC